UGAAGGGAAAAUCCACUCACCCUUAGGAUGAGAUUAGAACGAGAGGAUGAGCUUUGAGAUGCACCUGUUAAGGUAAGUUUCACAGCAUUACUAUCAUGAGGGCAAGUCUGUUUAGCUUAGUAAUGAAAAUGGUAGAACUUUAUUGUAUGAUUCUGAUUUUCAAGUGAGAAAGGAAAUGAACUAGAUGGAAAGAUCGUGACAAGUUUUCUGUGGUUUAACAUUUACAGGCUGUUAAUCUACUCGAUGGAAGUCGAGAGUUGAUGUUUGAAACUACCAAAGUUGAGGUUUUGUGAGGAUUUUGAGUCUCUGAACUGAAUCUUACUUGUAUGUGUGGCUAUAUGUUUCUAUAUCCACCUCUUCUGUUCUAAAUGAUAAAUCUAUGAAACGAAGACAGGCAUAAAACGCUGAUUCUAUGAAAGAUGCUUGUUUGAUGAGCUUGCAUGUGAUGUUUAUGGAUGAUAUGCCUCUUUUAUGAAAAAGUAUAUGCAUGAUGAAUAUGUAAAGAAAGAAUGAGCUCAAUGAUAUGCUUCUAUUCUAAAGGAAAAUGUAUGUAUGUAUGUAUGUAUGUAUGUAUGUAUGUAUGAGUGUGUGCGGAAGUAUGUCUCUGUUUGUUAUAAGUCUCUGCAUGAGUCUGAAAGCACAAUUCUCUUUGUCAUGAAAAGAGUCUACAUGUGAAGGGAAACGUGUGUUUUUGUCUCUACAUGAGGAGUUUGUGCAUGAGUUGCAUAAGUUUGCAUGUUGAGUCUACUUGCGUAUGAGUCCGCCAGGACAAUAAACACAAAUUUUGAUAAGGAAAAACCGUGGUCAUGGCAAAAAGACCAUAUAGUGUAAGACCUAAUUUGGGACUAUAGCAUCGUAUAGGGAUACGAAAACCACAUAGUGUAACACCUAGUUUGGGACUCUGACAUCAUGUGGGGAAAGAAGAUGAAUGACGGUUGGAAGAGUACCAAGCAAUGAGGGGAAAAUCUCAUAACGUUGAGUUUAGGCAAAUCCUUAUCGUCGAAAACACCAUUUACUGAAAUGUGGAAGCAUUUGUGGUUGUUCUUUGAUAAGUGGAAGCCUCUGUAGCUGUCCUCUGUUAUACGUGAGUCUUUACGACGAUACUUGUUAUAUAAAGUCUUAGAACGGGUUUGGAUGGGCGAUUGGGUGCGGUACGAUGCAUUUAGUUUACUUUUUGUCUCACGUUACAGUAUCGCUACAGUAUCUAAUCUCACCGCCACUGUUGUUUUUACAUUAACCGCAGGUAAAUGUGCCGUCUAUUCAAACCCACCCUUAGUGGACGACUCUAUGAAUGCACCUUCGUGGCGAAAUAUGUUAAAGUGGAUGUCUUUGUGGUUGAUUCUGUUCUAUAAGAGCCUUCGAGGCUGUAUCUAUUAAAUGCGCUCCCGUGGCGAAGUCUAUCAAAGUGGAGGUCUUUGUGGCCAUCUAACUAUAUGAACAUCUGAUACGGGGUUGCGCGCGGACCAAGAUCGAGUUGCCAAGUCACGGGAAACUCCUACGAAAACCCUAAACAAUCAGAUCCGAAACGAAACAGAAAAAUUAAAAGAUUAGAACUUUGAAUUUCCAGAUCUGAAAUAAAAUUCCCAAAUCAGCAAAGAAUCAAAUUGAGAAUAGAAAUAAGUGUUAGGGUUCUUGAAACCCUCAAGGAGAUUGUGAUUCUGCCUAAUUGAACACCAAGAUAGUUUUCCCCAAAUUUCGACAAUCUAAUUUCACCCAAAAAGAGUAUGAAAAAACCCUAGAAAUUGGGGAUUUUUGGGCUGAUUCCUUAAGAUAGAAAAAGGCUGAAAACACAAUAAGAACAGAAAAUAGAUUAGAUAAUGAUUCAGCACAAGUAGAAAUAAAGAAAUAAUUGACAGUAAGAAAUUAAAAGAUAAGUCCUAAGAAGCCUUGAAAUCUCGAAAGAUCUCACAACUCCCUUCAAACGGCUCUAAUCUCCCCUCCAAAGAAUAUCAAUGGCAAGAAGAAGGUUGAAGAUGGCUCCCACAAUCACAAGAUUGUUAAAACAACUUCUAAAGAAAACUCAAGAGAGAAAUCUUGGAGAAAACUCAAAGAAAAUUCUGCUCUCAACAAAUUUGAAAUUUUAAUAAUAAUGAUAAGUGUUUUACAAGGUGGACAGCCAUGCCUUUAAAUAGGCCUUAUAACUAGUCCUAAUCUAAUUAGAAAACUAAAAUAAAAAAAACUCCUAAUUAUUUUAAUAUGGAAAUUCGGUCAAAGGUCAUUUUAUCUGGGACUCUUGGACUGAAUAUUGACAUAAAAAUUUAAACUAAGUAAAUAAAUAAAUAAAUAAAUAAAAAUAAAACUUUACAACUUGGGCCACUUUGACAAUUUGGCCUGAUUUUCAACUAAGUAUGGAUGGAUUUCUUGAUUGGGCUGGGAAUUUGCUUAUUGGGCCUCGUCUUCAAGAAUUUGGGCUUUUGUGACUCAUAUCAUUCCCCCCUUCCUCAAAAAGAUUCGUCCUCGAAUUUGAAAAAUCAAAUGAACUCGACUUUCCUCUAUCGAACGGGACUAAUGGCAAUUGAGUCCACUGAAAAGAAUAGCCAUGAGAUAGUAAAUAGCAACGGAAACAAGCUUGUAGUCCAAUCAUAAGCAUAACAGAACAGGUAUAACGCAUGUGAAUGGACAGAUUCAGAUUACCUUGCAAACAAUCUAAUUUACUCACCACUGCCUCGUCAAAUAUUUGAAACAAAGAUGGACAUGUUUUAAGGCAUUCAGUCGUCUCACAUUGUUCCCACAAAUCAUGAAUAAAUUACGAGUAAUAAAUCAAAUGGUAAACAUAAUCGUCACAAGUAGGUAUUUGAAAAGAUUCACAUGGUUCACAGAGUUGCAUAAUCAUACCAUGCAUUAAUCGACGGUCUAUAGAUUCACUCACACAUGCAUUAUCAAAAACAAGAAUCUUUUUAUCAACCAUCAAAACAGAUAGAUCAUCAAUAAAUAAAAUAGGACAGUCAAGCACGUUUCGAUCUAAGUGUUCAUCAACACGAUCUUUAUCACUAUCCGAGGAGUACAAAAGUGUUUCAAAGGUUUCAAGCAUCUUACCUCGAUAAGCAGAAGAAUAAGGGUCGAUUUUACCUUUUUCAUUUAAAACAAACCUUCGCUCAUCGGGGGCAUAGUGUAGUCGAAUCUCCAUUGUUGAGUUAACCUUUGUCAAAUGGAACUCAAACUUCAUGUACAACCACAUAAACUGUUUAAGGCACGAAUAUAAAUUGAAAACAAAUUUGGAAAAUUUCGUUACCUUAUUCUCCAAAACAGAUUUGGACAAAUUCGAGGAUUUUACACAAGGUAAAUCAAGAGAAUAACAAAUCACGCUUCUUUUCGUAAUGACUUUAUCAACCACAAUCAAAGAGUAACAAUUAAUCGGAUCAAAAUGAGGGGAUCUUUUAAGAACUAAGUCACCAAAAGUUUUAUCAAUAAUUUUCAAAUCUGCACUGGACUCGGUUUCUAAAAUUUCCUUACCUCGCUUACCUUCGGGAUCAUGUAGUGUGAUUUCAUCUUUGCCUAAGUUGAUCGUAUGAAAGCGUCUUUCAUUUGAGAGGUAUUGAAGUUGAAAGUUAUCUUUCGAUCUUUCGGGAACCUGAAAAGUAGCAACACAAGAAAAAUUCAUAUCUUGGUUAGUGGAAACAUUCCUCACUACCCUUUCCACGUCUUUUUCUUUUGUUUCUUUUUCUAAUUCAUUUUUUCUUCUUUCUUCAAUUUCUUUUUCACUCUCAAUCUCUUUUUGCUCUUUUUCAUUCUCUUUUUCUUUUUCCUCACUUGUUUUAACAGAAUUUUUCAGUUUGAUUUGGUCCUCAUGGACUUGUUCCAGAGUGAGCGGCACUAAGGUGAGUUUCUUUCCUUGAUGCUUGAAAGAAUACCUAUUGGUACGACCAUCGUGAGUGACUUUUCGAUCCAGUUGCCAUGGUUCUCCUAGCAACAAAUGGCAGGCUUGAAUAGGCAUUACGUCGCACACAACUUCGUCUUAAUACUUACUGAUAGAAAAGGCGAUGCGCACUUGUUGAGUGACCCUAAAUUGGCCUUUGUUGCUAAGCCCUUAUAGCUGAUAAGGUUGUGGAUGCUUGGUAGUGGUUAAGCAAAGCUUUUCCACCAUCGUCGUGCUGGCUAUGUUCGAGCAACUUUCACCAUCAAUAAUAACUCUACAAAGCUUACCUUGUACAUGGCAGCGAGUAUGAAAGAGAUGUUCUCGUUGCUGCUCGCUCUUUGGUUUUGCCAAAGAUGAUUGUCCACGAUCAUGAAAAUCAUCAUCCAUUCUAGUGACACGUCGAGGGCCGCGCCUCUGGGGUUGGUUAUCCCUAUCUUCUUUGAUUGGAUUUCGAUAUUAAGGUUCUUGAUUCAAUUGCACCUCAUUGACGGUAGCAGUCAAAGCUCGAAGAGCAGCAGCCUGUUCAUCCAACUGUUGUUGGAAUUUUUUAAAUGUCACUAUUAUUAUCACCUGUAGACAUUUUUUUUAAAACCUGCGAAACACUCAACACUCAAAAAUAAAAGUUAUCAAACCUCACCGUUAAUCACUCAAAAAGAAAAAAUCAAAUUCUCAAUGAGGUAGAAUUCAAUCUUGUGAGUUCUUUAUCAAAGUUUAUAUCAACCAAUUAGAGAGUGGAUGAACCGAUCUACCAAAGAAUCCUAAUGUGCACUAGGAUGCCAAAAACUGACGAGACACCAAUUGAUUCGUGUUGCACCGAGGAAGAAUUGGGCACACGUUUAAAUCCUACUAACACAAAAAACAAGAAGGUGUUAGAUAUUGUAAAGGGAGAAUAAAAAGCAAACAAAUAAAAACCUACAGCUAAGAAUCAAUAAAAAUUGUUGAAAACAGAAAACCCGAAAAACUGCGGAGUAACUUGACAACUUCGUUCGAGGUGUUCCCAAUCUCAAAAAAUCACAAAAUUAAAUCUGGAAUGUCUUCAAAUAUUGAAUUUUUGAUCUGGAAAAUUUGGGCACCAAAUUCAACCCGCUGAAUAUUUUUUAAUUUUUUAUUGGAUUUCAUCUUUUUUCAAUUUUUUGACUUUUUCGACUUAUUUUUUGCGGGAAAUAUUUUUGUAUAUUCAAUAACAGUGCCAAAAAUAUUUAUGUAAAAUUUCAGAUCAAUCAGAAAACGUUUACCCACUCAAAUGAAUUUUUUUCGAAAAUUUUUCUGUGUAAAACUGCUGUUUGUAAUUUAAAAAAUAGAGAUCAGUUUAGAAAUCAACCAAGAACACCCAAAACACCCAAAAUCUGAUACCAAAUGAUACGGGGUUGCGCGCGGACCAAGAUCGAGUUGCCAAGUCACGGAAAACUCCUACGAAAACCCUAAACAAUCAGAUCCGAAACGAAACAGAAAAAUUAAAAGAUUAGAACUUUGAAUUUCCAGAUCUGAAAUAAAAUCCCCAAAUCAGCAAAGAAUCAAAUUGAGAAUAGAAAUAAGUGUUAGGGUUCUUGAAACCCUCAAGGAGAUUGUGAUUCUGCCCAAUUGAACACCAAGAUAGUUUUCCCCAAAUUUCGACAAUCUAAUUUCACCCAAAAAGAGUAUGAAAAAAACCCUAGAAAUUGGGGAUUUUUGGGCUGAUUCCUUAAGAUAGAAAAAGGCUGAAAACACAAUAAGAACAGAAAAUAGAUUAGAUAAUGAUUCAGCACAAGUAGAAAUAAAGAAAUAAUUGACAAUAAGAAAUUAAAAGAUAAGUCCUAAGAAGCCUUGAAAUCUCGAAAGAUCUCACAACUCCCUUCAAACGGCUCUAAUCUCCCCUCCAAAGAAUAUCAAUGGCAAGAAGAAGGUUGAAGAUGGCUUCCACAAUCACAAGAUUGUUAAAACAACUUCUAAAGAAAACUCAAGAGAGAAAUCUUGGAGAAAACUCAAAGAAAAUUCUGCUCUCAACAAAUCUGAAAUUUUAAUAAUAAUGAUAAGUGUUUUACAAGGUGGACAGCCAUGCCUUUAAAUAGGCCUUAUAACUAGUCCUAAUCUAAUUAGAAAACUAAAAUAAAAAAAACUCCUAAUUAUUUUAAUAUGGAAAUUCGGUCAAAGGUCAUUUUAUCUGGGACUCUUGGACUGAAUAUUGACAUAAAAAUUUAAACUAAGUAAAUAAAUAAAUAAAUAAAUAAAAAUAAAACUUUACAACUUGGGCCACUUUGACAAUUUGGCCUGAUUUUCAACUAAGUAUGGAUGGAUUUCUUGAUUGGGCUGGGAAUUUGCUUAUUGGGCCUCGUCUUCAAGAAUUUGGUCUUUUGUGACUCAUAUCAACAUCUCUAUGGCUAUCUUCUAUAUGAGUUUGGACGCCCUUGAGGCUAUUUAAUGUGAGUAGGUUCCUUUGUGGCUAUCUGAUAUUAUGUGGACGCUUUUGUGGCCAUCUAACUAUAUGGACGACUCUAUGGCUAUCUUGUAUAUGUGUUUGGACGCUCUUGUGGCUAUCUAUGUCAAAGAAAGACUUCUGUGGUUAUCUAUGUCAAGUGUACGCCUUUAUGGUGCGGUCGGUAAAAUUGGCCUUCGUGGUAAUGUUUCGAAGACAAAGUUGAUUGAGCGAACUUUGAAUGAAAGCGCAACCAACGAGCUUGAGACGAUGAAAGACUGGUGAGGAACAUUUUAUGCUGAAAGAGGAUGAAGCCUACCUUGUCCACCAGAAUGAAAGGUGAAUUAGAACGUAUUUCAUGAGUUCAAGCCCACAAGUGGAGCAAUUGUGACUAAGGUAAGAAUGCUUACAGAGUGCAAAAGAAGAUAUAGUAAGUGAAGGUUUAAUAUUCGUAACACUAAUUUUAGUAAGUACCUGCUUAAGAAGUACAGGAAAGUGCAAUGCUCUAAGCUUAACAAGAAAUAAUAAAUAAUUGUGUGAAAGUUGUCUCACUAAGUUUUUAUGAAUUUACUAUGAAUGUAUCUGAUUUCAAGAAUAUAAAGAAUAGUGCUUUGGGAGACGAUGUCAGGGCUAUCUAGGAAGCAAUGGGCUAAGUUGUUACGCAUACAGAGUAAGAAUGAAAGAAAGAGGAAAACGUAAGAGAAAGAUGUAUGAAAAGUCUUAAGGCUAUAUGAUAACGACUAAGCUAUACAAAAAACUAUUGGCAAAGUUGAAGUCUGCGCAUAAGAUAAAAAAUAAGACUUCAAAUAUUAUAUACAAGGUAUUUUAGGAGAAAGAGAUUAAAGAAAUUUUAUAAGACAUUGUUAGUAUAGUUACAUAGGUGAGUAGAAAAAGUUCAGGUUAAAUUUGUUAUAGGAAAUAACACCUAAUAUUCGGAUUUGGUCGAUCGGGUCGAUCGGGUCAAGUAGAGGAUGUUACAUGUUUCAAUAAGAUUGAGAAAGAAGAUGGAUGGGUAAGAAGGAAGACAUUGAUAUGAUAUUUGCUUAAAAAUUUACAAAAGGAUCCCAACAAGCGUCAUAUCUUUCAACUUCGCAGUACGCCAUAUCAGCUUAUUCGACAAUAACAAUUUCUUAUACAUACGAGAUUCUGUAGUGCGGUAUAUUAAAACAACAAACAAAACAGAUACCAUUCAUGAUGUCGAGAAUUACAACACCCUC
rnacentral:lncRNA from 1 species